AGUGGCGGUCGCCGGGCAGCGGAGCCCGGGAGCAGCGAGCGAGCGCAGCGCAGCGCAGCCCAGGGAGCGCGAGCGGCGCAGGCGGCAGAGGCGGUGGCGCGGGGUCACCGCCCGCUCCGGCUCUCGGCGCAGGGGAAUAGCCUCCUGCGGCGGCAGAGGCGGCGGCGGCGACGACGUGCGGGCGAUGCUGCAGGUCUCCUCGGGCGCCGGUGUCCUGACCUCUUCCUGAAGAACGAAGAACAAACUGAAUUCAUCUCAAAAUGAUUAUAAAGCAUCGAGACGGAGUAGCCUGCCACCUGAAUUACUCGUAGGAAAUGACAUUAAAGGAAGACUGCAGAGAAACAUUAAAAACCUGGAACCCAUUCACCUGAGGCGCCCGAAAAAGAGACCGUCCAUAUUUCCAGACCUGAUUUCUUCACGGCAAAUCACACUCCUCUCUCCUACCCCGAUGCUCCAGAAAGACUACGGCGUCUUGAUGGAUAAUCAGUACUGAAUGGGGUUUUGCAGUAACUAUGGGCCACAAAGAUUCCAUUUAAAGAAACAUUUUUUAAGUAUCAAAAUACGUUCCCAAGGGAAAAGGGAAGAUAAGCAUGAGAAAGACUGCAACAUCCAUUCAACAAAAAUCUGAACUAUCUCACUGAGUGUCUGUUAGAUGCCAAACACCGCGAAGGCCCGGAUGAUGGUGAAGACACUGAUACAUGGCAAUUUGUUCGAUCUGGUUUUUUACGAGGAGACCAAGGUGCACCAAUGGGCAUCAUGCUUCUCUGGCACCAAUGUUCAAGCCUCUGUGUGGCGCCAGCACAUGGCAAUACUGACACUGUGUCAUCUGGCACAGAAGCCCUAACUGGCCACGAAGCAUCUCCCUACAGGGAAGUCCCAGGGCACCUUGAUUGGCCUCUUCAUCGGGGUUCUUUGCUUGGGGUUUGUUUAGUUUUUGUAAUUUGUGCCUCUUCCGCACCCUCUGAAACACAGUGGGGCAGAGUCCCAAAUCAAACGUUCCUUCCCAGGGCCCAGCUCAGGAGGGGUUUCCAGUCGUUUGAGAUUUUCAAGCCCUUGUGUAACAAAGGGGAAUAUUAACUUGGCAACUUAGGUCAUUUGUUUUCCAUCAGCUGUGAAAAUGCACAUUAUCGGAGGAGGCUUUUCAGAAGGCACAGGCACCAGCCCUGGAGAUUUGACUGAAGAACCCUAGGGCUGGGGCCAGGCUUCUAGCUGCAGUGUGAAAACGGUCCCCUGGCACAUGUGACUUUUGUCCCCUCCCCUGACUGAGAACUACUCACGGGAAGCAGAAAAGAUCCUCAAAGAUCAAACUCAUUGCCAAGCUGUUCCCUGCUUCACCUGCAGGAAGCAGGAGGCAUGAUUCAUGGCAGGCCCCUAUCCCUGCCCCUUGGCAUCUGGUCCCCUCCCCCAUACACCCAGCCACCAGCACCCUCCAAGGCCAGUGUGUUCCUGGGCAGGAGGAGAACCUGUAUUUUCUCUCCUAAUAGUGCGUGGAUCAGUGUUCCAUUAUAUACAGACUUCCUCCUGCUUCUCUCUUGUAACCUUUCAGAUUACCCAUGUGGCUCUUUGUUCUAACCCCUGCUCACAUCAAACGGUAAAACACUCCAGGGUUCUUUCUGCCACCUCUUAACCGCUUUUUAACAUGGUCACCAUGUGCUAUGGGCUGGAAUUCCUAUGCUGAAGCCACAGUCCGCACGGGGAUGGCAUUUGGAGAUGGGGCUUUGGGGAGACCAUUAGGUCAUGAGGAUGGAGCCCUCCCUCGUGGGAGCAGUGCCCUUAUAAAGAGGCGGGCGAGAGAUGACCCUUCUCUCUGCCAUGUGAGGACACAGCAAGAAGCCUGGAAGCGGGCUCUCAGUAGACACCAACUCAGGCAGCACCUCGAUCUUGGACUCCUCUGCCUCCAGAACCGUGAGAUGUAAAUGCUUGUUGUCAAAGCCACUCAGUCUGUGGCAGCUGGUUACAGCAGCCUAAGCGGACUAAGCCAAAUGGAUGAAUGAGAAAUAUUUGAGGUCCUUAGGACGAAAACUCUCCAAGUAAUAUAAUAAAAUAUAGAAAUGUUCAAGGAGUAAAAGUUGAUGAAGAGCAUCCACGAUACUUAGUGCUGGACAGAAAUUGCAUUAAUCAGAGACAGGGUAAACUGUGCUGAUGUCUUUUCUUUUAUUAUUGAAUCACAUCCACUCAAAAUAAAUAGCUCACCUUGCCGUACAGUACAAAAUUGACAGAACACUGCAAACCAGCUAUAAUGGAAAAAAGUAAAAUCAUUAUUAAAAAAAUAGUAGUUGAGAAACUUCUCAAAAGAAAUAUUGCCAAAAUGUAAUGACUUUUAUAAAGAUGCUGCAGAUUACUACAUAAUUAGUUAAAUAAAAGGCAGUGCCAUUUCAGAAGACUACACACAACCCGAUGUUAUGGCCUUGCACUUGGUCUUCACGUCUGCUAAAUUAGAAAGGGCUUUUUGCCAUUCAGUCCUUCAGCAAAAAGUAGGUGAUUGAUGUGUGUGCUCAACCAACGCCUGACGAGCAUGGUCACGACGGAAGCCGUUUUACGGGCAGUUUUUAACGAUUUCUGCACCAAACACUCCUGCAAGCACAAACAUGGGUGGGCAGGAAGCCGGGAAGUUGUCCGGAAUUAUGCGCUUUGUGGACAACCUAAAAUGAAAACACAGACUCUCCAUCAGCGGGGUGAUGGCUGGGGAGACAGGGGUGCAGAGGAAACCCAGAAGGAGUUUGUCCAACAUGCUCCGCAGAGAACUUGAAAAAAGAGUCAGCAAAAAGAAAAUCAUGUCACACCCCCGGCAGGGACUUUGUGGGGUGGUUUUUAUUUGGCAAGUUUGACCUCUGUGACUGGGGUGAAAUGACUUGCCGAAAUGAACUGGGUGUGGUGCUUGCCUGGGGGGUGUGGGGACGCUCCCUAAAUGUCAGCGAGAUGGUUAAGAGGAAGGGUGGCAGGAGUGUUGCCCGGUCCUUGUUUAUUCGAUAAGGAAUGGUUUCCUCUUUAAAAGGCGCUUUUAAAGUUUCCAAACAUUGAAAAUAGUGAUGAGUUGACACGAGAUUGCGUAAAGUGAGAUACAUAGAGGAGGAGAUUUCUGUUCCAUCUCUUCCCACAAAGAGCAACGGAUUACUCAUUCCUACCCAACCACCUCUCCCUCGGAGGACUGAUUUCCAGGAACUGUGAGCAGUGGGGCGGGAGACUGCAGCCCGAAAGAGACCAUCGGCUUCCCCCCAGUGCCUUGAAAGGCUCCCCAGGUCAGUCUGCACAGGACUGCUUUAAAACAAGGUUGGGAUCCAGCUCAAGUGUAUUUGAGCAGCAGGGGGAUAGAAAUUACCAAUAUAUGAAAUGGCAACGUUCAGAUAGAAGUCCAACAUGGCACAUUACUCUCCCGAAGUCUGCAAACACAGUGUGUAGCAGUGGAUGAAAAAUUUCCUCCAAAAUCCACCAGAGUCUUUCAGGAGCUAUCUUAGAGUGGUGUGUAUCCAUGGUUCUGCUUUUUUAUUUAUUUUUUAUUUUUUGCUAUUAAAUUUUUUUUACGAUUUUUAUUUUUUUCCAUUAUAGUUCAUUUACAUGGUUCUGCUUGUUGAAAGUAAAUGGACAUUGGAGAUGAACAAGCAUUUGUAAAAUAGACUAACAUGUAAUUGUGCACAAUAUACAGGUUACUCAGCCCACUGGAAUUCUGUCCCCACUGUGGACCAGGGAGUUUACAAACCCUGAAGCUCGAAUACUCCGCAGUUAUACUCUUAACCUACCACAUUGCUAAAUGCUACUCACUGCUGCAUGGAGUGGCUCAUGACACCUUUUCAUUGUGACCUAAUAAACUAUUGCAUAGUUCAGCACCUCACAUUUUAAAACUUACAAAAUUUGAAAUGUCUUGAAUUGCAUCCAAAGUGGUGCUCUCUCUCCACUCAGCUUUCAAGGGAUAGGUGAGAAGUAUAUUUAAUAACAUGUUUUAAUUUCACCAUUGGGAAAAUAGGGAGAAGAACACACAUUCUAAAGUCCUGGGGAUUCUUCAAGUCUGGAUCCUGCCAAUCCUGGGCAUCAACGAACUAUUUCCGUUUGGGGAUCAUCAUUGCUAUUGUUUUACUCAAUGACAGAGCAUCUUAGAAAACCUGUGGCAUUUCUCCAGAAGUUUAAUUAUUAAUUUCCUGCUAAUUAGUCAUCUUAUACAUCAUGCCUUUGAGUCCUGGGGAAUAAAUAUUUCUUCAGAACUCAAACUGCAAAAAGUGCUCUGUGGUUGUGCUGCUGAAGAACUUAGACAAGUAAAUAACUCACUUGGCGGGAGUUCAGCAGAAAAUCAGGGCAUCGUUGAAUUAUGGAUCUGAAAGAAAGCGUAGCAGCAUCUAACUCAAGGCACUCAUUUUACAGGUCAAGAAAUGCACACCUACCCAGACAGCUUACACUGAGGGUCUCCUGCUUCCUGGUCUGCUCUUCGUGAAAUCAUCAUAAAACCUAGUUUAAGAACAUCCGGGGUCAUUUUUUGUGAUCAUAGAAGGCAAGGAGAAAGGACACCCACAGCUUCCCUCGUGGGUCCAAGAGGCAAGCAGUCCAUGUACCAGCAUGGAUUUAUCCAGCCCCCACUUGCCCAUGAUUCUGCUCAGGACACAGCGGUGGGCAGGGGGAGGCAGAAGCUUUCAAAGGUACAUGUCAGUCCCAGGCGGUGACCCACUUAGCUGGUCCAGUGCACAGCAUCAGUAUCUCAGCUGGCUGUAUUUUUCAUUCUGUCCUUAAGAGAUAAAAGUCUUAGAGCUCCCUGGUGGCUCAGCAAGUUAAGCAUCCAGCAUGGUCACUGCUAUGGCUUGAGUCCCUGCUGUGGCUGGGGUUCGAUCCCUGGCCUGGGAACUUCCACAUACUGUGCACGUGGCCAAAAAAAAAAAAAAAAAAAAAAAGAGCCUGUUUCGUUGAUGAAAACAAAGUGAGAGGGGAUGGACAUUUUCGUUUAAGGUAACUUUAGCUCAAGGACACACACAAGAACCAAUGAUUGUCCUCAGAGCUGUGAUCCAGGGAAACCUGAACCCUAUAAACACAUUUCCUUUGCAGGGGAGAGCUCUAGGGAUGUUUUCCUCUCCAACGGUGAAAGGUCUACUGAAGUGUCAUUGUCCUCACAGACAAAGAGCACUGUGUCUGUGUCACAGUGGGGAAACUGAGGCAUGCGGAAAUAAUCUGGUCCCCGCUAAGAGAGCAAAUUUGAGACUAGAUGAGAUUUCACAACUUUUCUCUUUCAGGUUGUCCUUCACCAGUCCCCCAAGUUUAUUCCAUGCUCAUGUUUAAAGAGUUACAACCCAAAGCAGCUUUAAAACUGUAUAUUAGUGAUCGAACCACAACAAUAUGUACUGGUAUAUCUAUAUAUAUUUUUUUCCCACACGGGAUAUAACCAAAUUCCUAAUUAAAAAUCAGCUGAUAAGUCCCCUGAUUAAAGGGGCGUCGGAGGCAGACAGCAGACCUAGCCUAACUGUGCUUGUGGAGCAGCUGUGCACCUGCAAAGUAAAUACUUUGCCCAUUUGGGGGAAGCAGGUUCCUUUCUAGGGUCAUCAGGGCUCCAUUUAGUCUCUGAACAAGAGGUCACCCAGUUGUUUUGUGUGGUCCCCGGUUUAAAAAGUUGUCUCACAGCAAAUUCUUCAGCUCUAAGGGAUAGCGAAUAAAGAAUCAUUGCUUUGGGGAAAGGCUGCUAGAAGAGCUCAAAAGAAGGCAAAAAAGAAUUGUUUUUUAAGCGCAACUUCUUCUGAGCACUAGAGUUUGAAACUGCAGAAGGUUUUUGUUUGUUUUGGAUUUUUUUGGCAGUCCCCUCGGCAUGUGGAAGUUCUGGGGACAGGGAUUGAAGCCAUGCCAAGAGCAGUGACCCCAGCCAUAGCAGUGACAAUGCCUGAUCCUUGACCCAUUAGGCCACCAGGGAACUCCUUCCUCCCACCCCCUGCUCCCUGUUUUAAGGUUUUAAAGUAGUAGAAGGAGAAGAUCCUAUAACCUCAUAUAACCUAAAAAGUCAGCUGGGAGGGAGCACGUUGCUCUUCAAAUCUAGAUAAAGAUUGGUCAGGCUUCCAUGGCAAUGCCUGUGGAGGGUCCCAGGCCCAGCCCAGGACCUCUGUGACUCUGAGACUCAUGUCUUCGUGCUUAAGUUCCUGCCUCUGCCAGUGUUUUGUUUGUUCUUUUUUGCCACGUAUGAAUGUCCCCAUUAUCUCCUUAUGCUGCCCCACUCUGGACUUACUGUGUGGAUUCAGAAGGGAAGUUUGGCCCCUUUCUUUGAUUUCCACAGAGAAAAUCUCCACUAUAAAAGCCUGUGCAUAGAGCAGAUUCUGUGGGUUUCCGGAGAGAAAACGGGAAUCUGGGGUUUAGACGGUCAUUCAGCACAGACAACUCCGAGUUAAUAUUAGAUGUCCCUGUUUUUGAAAACCCCUUUCAGCCCCCUGCCAUUUGAGAUUUCUCAGUGCUCAUUCGACUGGUAUUCUUCAACCUCUGGACACCUUGGUGGCUUCUUUCUUCUUUUCUUUUCCCGUCUAUCCUUUCAAGUUGCUUUCAACCCCAAGUCCACAGGAUUUCACUUUCUUCUCCCUCUGUUGUCGAGAACAGUUCUGAUCUUUCCAGCCCCUGCCCCCAGCGCUUCUUCAGGCCUCUCACAGCACAUCCCGAACCGCUCGAGAUGCUCAUCAAAAUCAAAGGGCCGUCUGAGACCGCGCCCUUUAAGGACAGCGUCAUCCUCGGCACAGGCGAACCACCUGCAGGAUCGUGUUAAAAUUAAGUUCAGAUGCUGGUUCAUCAGGCUUGAGAUCGGCCUGGGAACACUUACCUUCGACAGUCAUGAUUUGAUUCUGAUUGAAGGAACGUCAGCUCAUUUUUGAGAAACUCUGGAGCCUCAUAAGAUUCAUGCUCUGUAGGAGGUGGUUGGAUUCUAGGUAGCAGGUUUUUUCCUCCUUUGCAUAUAGAGUGUGCCUAUCCUAAACCAGACCCCACAAAGACCCCACUGUGGGGGGGGCGAACAUCUCCCCAUCGUUCUACUGCCUGAGCAUCUUACGGUGUAAGCCCCAGGUCACUUCUUAGUUGCGCUGUCAUUAAAACGUGGGUGGGCUCAUCAGGAAGGGCUAAGACUCAUGUUUCCAGUCUUAAGAGGAUUGUUCUUGUCUAACAUGUUUGUAUUCACGUGAACAGGCUCAGUGACCCAUGUUGCUAAGUCAAGCAGAGGACAAAGCUUGCUCUGGGACAACCCAGGGAACUUGCUUGCUGUCCUCCGAAGUCGGAGAACAGAAGACAGGCUGGAUGGAUCAGGAAGUAAGACUAUUUUGGAUGAGCAGACAUCCACACUCUUUUAUAGUUUUAGUGCCCAGAGGAGUUGUCCUAAGUUCACAUUGAUUUGGGCGCAUGAUUCACUGAGAGUAGCUUUGUUUCCCUCUCAGUUUACAGGAUGGUUCUGUCCCUUUUAGAUGAUAAUUUAAUGGCAAAGCUCGACACUGAUCAGAGCGUUAUUACGAAGUACAUAAAUUAUCUAUACUAUAAAUGAAUAGAGUCUCUUUCAUAAUGCAUUUAAAAUAAUUUGUUUUAUAAAAACUGCUGCCCUUUCCAGCAAGUUGUCCACUCUGUUGUGUAAAGAAAUACAGACAUAUCUCUACACUAGCCUUCCUAACAGUUUUGCUGUCUUUUGUCACGUUUCUGUCCUCUUUACACCUCAAUUCUUAGCUCUUUGGACAGAAGAGGUACAUUUUCUAUUUUGUUGAAAUCUCCCUGAAACAUUUAUCGAAUGAUUUCUGCCCUCAGGGUGUGUUCAGGAAAAUGCCCGUGCCCCACUCAGACCUGUGUCAUGCUCUUCCCGAGUCCAGUAACAGGGUGUGGACCUAAGUAAGUAGUUUAACCACCCUGUACACCCUAGAAUAGUCUCUGUAAAGUGGGGUAAAAAUACGGGCUGAUCUCCCCAAAUCUCUACUAUUUUUGAAAGUAUUUUAAUUUAAUUUAAGUUUUAUUCUUAAGGCUGCGCCUGUGGCAUAUGGAAGUUCCCAGGCUAUGGAUGGAAUCAGAGCCACAGCUGUUGGUCUGUGCCACAGCCCCAGCCACUCAGGAUCCUUAACCUACUGAUCCAAGCCAGAGAUGGAACCCCCAUAUCCUCAUGAAUACUUGUCAGGUUCUUAACCCGCUGAGCCACAACAGGAACUCCCUAACUCUCUACCAUUUUCAGGACCUCUCUGAAGUCUAGAACCACACUGCUUAUACAGUUCUCAUCCACUGCUAGCUUUUCUUCUAUUAAACAUAGCUAUUCCGUAGCCCCCUGCAUUUUUGUUCUGAUAGCCCCUCUGUCGUGUGUUAGCUCCUCUACUUUCAGGAUCGAGGCUACACUCUUGAGCAUGGCAUUGAAGACCUGGGGCCCUCCCAGUCUGGCCCCGGGCUCAGUGGCAGGCCCCCUCCCUACCUCCAGCCUCCCUGUGUGCCCUGCUGGCCACAAGGACCCACUGCUGUCCUCUUGGUGGUGUGGGUCUUCACGCAGGCUUCCUCAUCUGGAAGCCUUUUUCUGUCAUCCUUAUCAAGGCUGAGCUCAGAUGUCCCCUUAUCUCUCAAGCUGUCCCUUACACUCUGACCCCCAGAUGACUGAAUUGUAUCUCACCCUUUGGAUCAUAGCUGUUCCCCCCGCGGUUACCGUGUUUCACGCUGUGUGUAUCUCUUGUUGUUAUCACCCUCUCUACCCAGGCUCCAAGCCUUUUGAAGGCAGACAUUGUGUAACCCCUGAAUGAAUGGGUGAGUGAAUGAAUGGAUGGAUGCUUUUCCUGUCCGUCUGUGUCUAACUGUCUGUCUUAGCCAUCAGUGACAUGCACAAAGCUAAACUCUUUCUUGAAAAGGGACAUAGUCUUCCUAAGUACUAGUUUUCUAGGCAAGGUGAUUUCUUUUCCUCUUUCUAAAUCCCUCAUCACUGGGCUCCUAUUAUUUUUCUCUUGCUUUAGUAUAUCCCAUUUCAAGAGGAUUUUUGGUUAAAUUAUUAGCUACUUUAAAUUCUUUGUGGAUUUAAGUAAGCGGGAAGUAUAAGGCGGUAUCCUCUGAGCAUUGUCUGAACUAAAUAAAGUCUUUUUCCAUCAACACCCUAUCACUUUUCCCACUUCCCUUCCUCCACUGACUGUAUCCUGGAUAAAACUGAUGUCAGCUCUUCACAUGUCCUUCAAGUUGCCUCAUGUUUUGAGUCAGUAUCCUCCAUUUGUUUCUUAAUGCAUCCAAGAUUGGCUACAAUUAUUUGACAGUUUCUUUUUGGCUGACAUAGGCUUGCAAAAUCAAAACUUUCUAAUGCACUUUGCUUUUGCUGGCGUCAUUAUGCAUGCUGCAAUAGCAGUUGGAUAUAAUGGUGUUUUGUGCAACCAUAUGGAAGAGUUAAGUAGAAAGAAUGAAAAGAGAUGGGACUUCCAGCUAUGACACAACUGGUUAAGGAUCCGGCAUUGCCACACCUGUGGCAUAGGGUACAGAUGUGGCUUGGAUUCAAUUCCCUGGCUUGGAAACUUCCAUAUUCUGUGGGUGUGGCCAAAAAAGAAAGAAAGAAAAGAAAAGAAACCAGAUGAGACUCAACAAAAGAGAACUGUCAGCUUGUCAGAGACUCAAAGUGAAUUUCCUAAAAUUUUAACAUGGUGGCAAGUAUAUGCAACUUUUGCAUUCAAUCAUUGGGUAAUAAGUCUUGUUUCUAAGAAAGCUCAUCAGAGUGAUGGUUCCUUGAUGUUUGGAAGGGAUUGUUUACUUGAUGAAGCAACACAACACAUAUCUCAGGACUAACUGGCUUUACAGCUGACAGCAGACUCCUUCGGGCAAGGACUUUAUACAUUUGGCACAAUUAUACUUAUUGUACAUCAGUGCUGCAUAAAUAUUUAAUAACAGUUCCCACACCUAUUCCUGGCAGGUCCAGCCUUUCUGACUUGUCAUGUCCAUAAUCAAAUAUGCAUUUCCACAUUAAUCAUUUGAGGUGUGGUGCCACUCCUGGGCUGGUUUCUCUGGAACGAUCCAUCUUCUCUAGGCUUGGGCUGUGCUCGAGUAACUGGAAUAGAGAUAAAUAGCUGUAGAAAAAAUCCGAUAUAGUUCUCUCAUCCACGGGUGGUUUUUCUUCUAUUAAACAUCGACGUAUUCUGUAACAGUGACUUACAGACUGAGCUAUAUUUUCUCCUCAAGGUAAAACAGUCACCUUUGUGGAAGUUACAUCAACAUCUGGGCUUCUUCCAGGCUUUGUAACUAAUGACUAGAUACUGGGCAGCUCCCUCUCCCUCUCCUGUGGUCAGUUUGCUCACCUAAAAAAGAUCUAAUCGCAAAUGUUGAUCCUGGCUGCAAAGUUUUAGUGUCCUGCCUAUUUGCAAAGGUAAUAUUUGUGCUUAUUUACUCAGGAGAAGUAAAGUACCUCAUUUUUAAAGUUUUUCUGGUGACUAUGAGAAAGCGCUACUCCUGAAAUAUUUCGUCUGUGGUCUGAGAUAUAUAUGUAUAUAUACAUUGUCUUUAAGAGGAAUUUACCCAGUAUUUGUUGUAUAGAAGAAGAGAGUCAUUGUGGCAACAGAUUGGAAUUCCAAAGCACAUACAUGUAGAAAAGCAUAGCUAUUUAAUUAUGUGAAUUUUAAAAGAAUCACAAAUUUAAAGGGAUCAGAAAGAACAAAAUCCACUGGCUCUGGGAGACAAAAGUCGACUAAUUGUGGGAUUACUGUCCCUUGGUUUCUUUAUCAGUAAAAUGGGAAUCUUCUCUUUCUUUUUACCAGAGAACAAGAAAUGAGACAAAGACAUAAGGCCCAGUGCAGUUAACGGGGGUUUCAACAGGAAACUUUCCUGUAAAAAGAUGCUGCUACAGUCAGUGCUUCGGGUUUUCCAAAGGUGCCUGCGCCGUCUUCUUCAUCCUGUUCACUCACAUUUUUCUCUCCUGACCCCUCAAGACAUUUGCCACAAUUUUUUUUCACACUUUUUAAAAUUGAAGUAGAGUUGAUUUACAAUGUGCCAAUUUCUGCCACACAGCAAAGUGACCCAGUCACAUUUAUAGACAUACCUUCCCUUUCUUAUACUGUCUGCAUUUCUUUAUGGCCGGCUGCAUUGGGAGCUGCCGUCUUUGCUCAGGCCGAGCAAUAUUUAUGUCAGUGGUGCAGCAACGACAAUCAGCCCACAGAAGGAUUUAAUCUGGGUUUUGUUUCCAUCGACAACGUCCUUCAAAGGCCCAAGUUUAUCUGCCACAAGUGAUAAUAAAGCUGCAUGAAAAGGCUGUGCAGAUCCUCUUGCUUUUAUUCACCUCGGGUCCCCUCCUCUCUGGGAACCUCCCAGGCGUCGGAAGUUUUGUUUGGGAACGCUGAGGUUUCCAAGGGUGACACAGGUCAACUGGAAACGUUCUUUGGCUCAGGCCAGUGUCAGGAUCAUUUCCACCUGUGGUCACGUUCCUGGAGUUAAACAACAGUUCAGGAAAGUGAACCCCGGGUAGGUUUUUCUGCAGGAACACAGAGAGCGCAGGUUCUGUGGAAUCUUCACAGUUAAGGAGCCUUCAAUACCGAAGAGUAACUGUUGUGCUUCCCAUUUCAAUGAUUUAUACCUAUGUUACUCUCAUGCUUAAAUUAUUGAUGUAAUUACUCUGUGAAUAUAGUAAUGCAUGGCCACACUCCGAAUCGUGUGAUCCAUGGACGCUGUUACUGAGGGCAGUAUGUCUUGUUUAUUCCUCCAAAUGCUGUUAAGAAUGUGUACUUCUAAGAAUCUGCAGAUACUAAGUUUGGCCUCUCCAUCAUUGAUUAGGGUCACCUUGCUUAACCUGGUCUUCAUUUCUACAUAAGUAAAUCUUGUAAUUUUUAUAGUGACAAUCAUUCUUCCCGUAGAUUCUCCCCCAAAUGGCUGCAACUCAUUGAAGGAUAGGAUCGUUCAUUCAUUCUGCCAGUGCUUUUCGCAUACCUACUAUAUGCCCGGCACUGGACUAGAACUUGCUCAUAAGUAUCCAAGUCUCCUACUCCAACUCUCCCUCUUUUUAUCAUGCUUAAGUUUACUGCAUUCACAGAUAUUGCCGUUUUUACAAAUUGAAGGUUUGUAGCAAUUCUGCGUUGUCAGAUGGUUGGCAUUUUUAGCAUUAGUAUUUUUAAAUGAAGGUAUGAACGUAGACAUAACGCGAUUGCACACACUAGGCUACAAUAUAGUGUAAACAUAACUUUUAUAUGCACUGAGAAACCAAAAUAUUGUGGGACUCACUUUACAUUGUGAUAUUCACUUUAGUGUGGUGGUCUGGAACUGAACCUGCAGUAUCUGAGGGGUACACACCUCAUCGGAGCCUUCACUGACCCAAGGUAGUGGCGUCAGAGAUCACUAAUCACAGGUCACCAAAACAAAUAUAAUAAUAAGCUUAACGUGACACAGAGACAGAAAGUGAACAGAGGAUGUUGGAAAGAUGGCACCGAUGGACUUACUAGAGGAGGGUUGCCACAGAGCUUCAACUUGGAAAGCACACACUCUCUGCGAAGUGCAGCGUCAUGAAGUGCAGUAAAGCAGUGUAUGCCUGUUUUUCUUCCUUCCAUUCUGUCGAUAUUUGCUUUGUAUUUGUGGGGAGUUCUGCUGCUUGGUGCACACAUAAUUGCUCUCAUUAGCAAUUGACCUUUCCUUCAUUAUACCAUGUUCUUUGUCUCAUGUAACAGUUUUUUACUUAAAGUUUCUUUUUCUUUUUUUUCUAACUUUUUUUAAAAUUUAUUUUUUAUUGUUAUUCCCCCCAACACACUGUUUUUUUUUCCCCCACUGUACAGCGUGGGGACCCAGUUACA